CAGUAGCGUAUAUUAAAGUUGUUGCAGUUAAAAUGCUCGUAGUUGAAGUUCGGAUGCAGCAGAGCUUGGAAACGCUGUUAUGGUGCUUCCGUUGCUUUUGCUUGUCCACAGUGCGUUGCAAGUACGUAUGUGCUUGUGCGUGCAUUUUACUUUAAGAAACAUAGGGUGUUCCACGCAUGUUACGGCAUGAAUAUUCCAGCAUGGGAUAAUCUGGUACGACUUCCAAUCUGCCAUUUUGGUUCGUAGGUUGGAAGUAAUGAUUAAUAGGGACUGUCGGGGGCAUUGGUAUUUGACUGUCAGAGGUGAAAUUCUUAGAUUCGUUGAGGACCAACCACUGCGAAAGCAUUUGUCAAGGAUGUCUCCAUUAA
rnacentral:rRNA from 1 species